CGACGUGAGGAACCUGCCUUUCAGAGGGGGACAACAGUUGGAAACGACUGCUAAUACCGCAUAAUACGCGGGUGUCGCAUGGCAUCUGCGUCAAAGAUUUAUCGCUGAAAGAUGGCCUCGCGUCUGAUUAGCUAGUUGGUGAGGUAACGGCCCACCAAGGCGACGAUCAGUAGCCGGACUGAGAGGUUGGCCGGCCACAUUGGGACUGAGAUACGGCCCAGACUCCUACGGAAGGCAGCAG
rnacentral:rRNA from 1 species